GUUUGAUCCUGGCUCAGGACGAACGCUGGCGGCGCGCCUAACACAUGCAAGUCGAACGGAGCAUUGAGAGCUUGCUUUUAAUGCUUAGUGGCGAACGGGUGAGUAACGCGUGAGUAACCUGCCCUGGAGUGGGGGACAACAGUUGGAAACGACUGCUAAUACCGCAUAAGCCCACGGGUCCGCAUGGACCUGCGGGAAAAGGAUUUAUUCGCUCUAGGAUGGACUCGCGUCCAAUUAGCUAGUUGGUGAGGUAACGGCCCACCAAGGCGACGAUUGGUAGCCGGACUGAGAGGUUGAACGGCCACAUUGGGACUGAGACACGGCCCAGACUCCUACGGGAGGCAGCAGUGGGGGAUAUUGCACAAUGGGGGAAACCCUGAUGCAGCGACGCCGCGUGGAGGAAGAAGGUUUUCGGAUUGUAAACUCCUGUCGUUAGGGACGAUAAUGACGGUACCUAACAAGAAAGCACCGGCUAACUACGUGCCAGCAGCCGCGGUAAAACGUAGGGUGCAAGCGUUGUCCGGAAUUACUGGGUGUAAAGGGAGCGCAGGCGGACCGGCAAGUUGGAAGUGAAAACCAUGGGCUCAACGCGUGAAUUGCUUUCAAAACUGCUGGCCUUGAGUAGUGCAGAGGUAGGUGGAAUUCCCGGUGUAGCGGUGGAAUGCGUAGAUAUCGGGAGGAACACCAGUGGCGAAGGCGACCUACUGGGCACCAACUGACGCUGAGGCUCGAAAGCAUGGGUAGCAAACAGGAUUAGAUACCCUGGUAGUCCAUGCCGUAAACGAUGAUUACUAGGUGUUGGAGGAUUGACCCCUUCAGUGCCGCAGUUAACACAAUAAGUAAUCCACCUGGGGAGUACGACCGCAAGGUUGAAACUCAAAGGAAUUGACGGGGGCCCGCACAAGCAGUGGAGUAUGUGGUUUAAUUCGAAGCAACGCGAGGAACCUUACCAGGUCUUGACAUCCGAUGCAUAGCUUAGAGAUAAGUGAAGUCCUUCGGGACAUCGAGACAGGUGGUGCAUGGUUGUCGUCAGCUCGUGUCGUGAGAUGUUGGGUUAAGUCCCGCAACGAGCGCAACCCUUAUUGCCAGUUACUACGCAAGAGGACUCUGGCGAGACUGCCGUUGACAAAACGGAGGAAGGUGGGGAUGACGUCAAAUCAUCAUGCCCUUUAUGACCUGGGCUACACACGUACUACAAUGGCGUUUAACAAAGAGAAGCAAGACC
rnacentral:rRNA from 1 species